AAUAAAUGAGCUUAUUGAGUUCAAUCAGAGUAGGGAGCAGUUUUAUUGAACAGCACAUUUUCAAAUUCUUCAGUUGUGUUUUGUUUUUCAGCUACGUGUCUCUCUGUGAUAAUGAAAAGACAGGUUGCAAAGCCCGGGAACUAAAAUCAGUUUAUGUGGAUGCAGUAGGACAAUUUCUUAAACUGAUUUUUCACCAAAACCAUGUCAACAAAUACAACAUAUAUAAUCAGGUUGCUUUGGUUGCCAUAAAUAUCAUUGGAGACCCUGCAGAUUUCAGUGAUGAAAGCAAUACUGCCUCUCGAGAGAAGUUGAUUGACCACUACCUUGGGCACAACAGCGAGGACCCUGCUCUAGAAGGAACUUACGCCAGGAAAUCUGACUAUAUUUCUC
rnacentral:sRNA from 1 species